GUUUCCAGUGUUCUGAAGAUAUCAGUGUUGUGGCAAUUACACAGGUGUCACCCAAAACUGCUGACCUUGACCAGCAGAAUGUCAUGUCACCUUGCUGCCCCCUUGACACGUGGCGGAGGGCCGCAGACCCCCUCCCGCGGGCACGUCCGCAGUGCCUGUCUGCUCAGAUAGUCCUGUAGAGGUUACACUCAUUCAUUGGAGAUGGGAGCUUUUUUUUUUUUUUUUGGAGAAAAAUAUAUAUAAAUAUAUAGAUAUAUAUCACUAUAGAAUAAUGCAUUAAUAAAAUGAGGCUUUUUAGAGGAAGACCAAAAAAUUCAAUGUCUUAAAAAUAUAUUUAAUGGCAAUGCAAAAGUCUUCCUGCUUCCAUGCUGAACUUUGAGAACACAGGAUUGUACUGCAAGACAAAGUUGAAUGUAAAGUGAUCCCCCUGAACAUUUUUAAAGUUUUACUUUUCUAAAAUUACACAUCGCAACAGUGUAUAGACCAUAUGAUGUUAGUUUGAAGGUCAAUUUCAGUGUAUGAUACCUACGCUUUAUGAAAAUGUAUAAAAUGUCCUGAAGUUUGGGUUUCAUUUUGGGACUCGGAAUUGAUGGGUGGUAUUGGCUGCGUGGCCCCCGUGCAGUGGGACCGAGUGCGGACCCUGCUGGAUACAGUGUACGUUUGGCGUAGUAAGUAGCAUUCUGUACUCACAGUAGUCUUGGCACUGUUCAUACCGCAGCUUGCAACAAGCAGAAUACAAAGUUGGUAAUAUACUACAUUUUCCUCUAUCCUGUACAUUUCAAAAAAAAAAAAGGCAUAUGCAAUAUUUACAUUUUUAAUUUAGUUUACAGAAUGGAACCAAAAUGUAUAAAUGUUAUGUUUGCUAAAACUUCACAAUGUAUAUUGGGUCUUUGUACAUUUUGCCUGACUUACCUUAAAUUUAAAAUAUUUUUUGCUAUAUAAACUUUAACAGUUAUUAAACAGUGUUUUCUUUUUGGGUACGUAUUGUUUCUGGAUAUCAAGAUGUUAAAUAUAUUUCUUGCUAUUGUGAUAUGACAAAAGACUUACCUUAUCUUGCUCUGUCUUCCACUGCAACACGCUGUAUAUAAGGGUCAAUGUGACGCUGCUGGAGACGACAGUCAAUGGAUCUAGAAUAGUGCAUCGUACUUAGUCUGUAUUGAUCAUGGAUGCUCUCCUUAACAGCCAUAUGCAAUAAAAUAAAAUACAUUAUUUAUGAAAUGAAUAAAGCCUUGAGGAUAUCUUCUUCUGCAUGGAUUCUGAGUUUCACAUAAAGCCACACUCCUCCUGGUGUUUGAGAGUAAAAAAGUAAACACGAAGCUCUUAAAAUACUUUGAUGCCUCUUCAUUUAAAUGUUUUAAUCCCGGAAACCCGAUCAUAUUCCCCAAAUGACAGAAUUUAUGAAAAGGAAAUGUAUUAAGAAAACAAAGAUGUUCUUUCCUUAGCAAACAUACAGACAGUGUGCUGGCUGGAUGCUGUUCGAGGUCCUGCACCAACGCUAACUGCUUUAUGGUCCAUAACAACCAAGGUGGUAGGAGUCACCAGCCCCAUUUUACAGAUGACGCCGCUGGAGCACGGGAGGCG
ensembl:lncRNA